rnacentral:rRNA from 1 species
UACGUAGGGCGCGAGCGUUGUCCGGAUUUAUUGGGCGUAAAGAGCUCGUAGGCGGCUUGUCGCGUCGACCGUGAAAACUUGGGGCUCAACCCCAAGCCUGCGGUCGAUACGGGCAGGCUCGAGUUCGGUAGGGGAGACUGGAAUUCCUGGUGUAGCGGUGAAAUGCGCAGAUAUCAGGAGGAACACCGAUGGCGAAGGCAGGUCUCUGGGCCGAUACUGACGCUGAGGAGCGAAAGCGUGGGGAGCGAACAGG